rnacentral:rRNA from 1 species
UUCGGGGGUACUCGAGUGGCGAACGGGUGAGUAACACGUGGGCAAUCUGCCCUGCACUUCGGGAUAAGCCUGGGAAACUGGGUCUAAUACCGGAUAGGACCUUUAGACGCAUGUCUUUUGGUGGAAAGCUUUUGCGGUGUGGGAUGGGCCCGCGGCCUAUCAGCUUGUUGGUGGGGUGACGGCCUACCAAGGCGACGACGGGUAGCCGGCCUGAGAGGGUGUCCGGCCACACUGGGACUGAGAUACGGCCCAGACUCCUACGGGAGGCAGCAGUGGGGAAUAUUGCACAAUGGGCGCAAGCCUGAUGCAGCGACGCCGCGUGGGGGAUGACGGCCUUCGGGUUGUAAACCUCUUUCACCAUCGACGAAGGUUCGGGUUUUCUCGGAUUGACGGUAGGUGGAGAAGAAGCACCGGCCAACUACGUGCCAGCAGCCGCGGUAAUACGUAGGGUGCGAGCGUUGUCCGGAAUUACUGGGCGUAAAGAGCUCGUAGGUGGUUUGUCGCGUUGUUCGUGAAAUCUCACGGCUUAACUGUGAGCGUGCGGGCGAUACGGGCAGACUAGAGUACUGCAGGGGAGACUGGAAUUCCUGGUGUAGCGGUGGAAUGCGCAGAUAUCAGGAGGAACACCGGUGGCGAAGGCGGGUCUCUGGGCAGUAACUGACGCUGAGGAGCGAAAGCGUGGGGAGCGAACAGGAUUAGAUACCCUGGUAGUCCACGCCGUAAACGGUGGGUACUAGGUGUGGGUUUCCUUCCUUGGGAUCCGUGCCGUAGCUAACGCAUUAAGUACCCCGCCUGGGGAGUACGGCCGCAAGGCUAAAACUCAAAGGAAUUGACGGGGGCCCGCACAAGCGGCGGAGCAUGUGGAUUAAUUCGAUGCAACGCGAAGAACCUUACCUGGGUUUGACAUGCACAGGACGCGUCUAGAGAUAGGCGUUCCCUUGUGGCCUGUGUGCAGGUGGUGCAUGGCUGUCGUCAGCUCGUGUCGUGAGAUGUUGGGUUAAGUCCCGCAACGAGCGCAACCCUUGUCUCAUGUUGCCAGCGGGUAAUGCCGGGGACUCGUGAGAGACUGCCGGGGUCAACUCGGAGGAAGGUGGGGAUGACGUCAAGUCAUCAUGCCCCUUAUGUCCAGGGCUUCACACAUGCUACAAUGGCCGGUACAAAGGGCUGCGAUGCCGCAAGGUUAAGCGAAUCCUUUUAAAGCCGGUCUCAGUUCGGAUUGGGGUCUGCAACUCGACCCCAUGAAGUCGGAGUCGCUAGUAAUCGCAGAUCAGCAACGCUGCGGUGAAUACG